CCUACGGGAGGCAGCAGUAAGGAAUAUUGGUCAAUGGAGGCAACUCUGAACCAGCCAUGCCGCGUGCAGGAAGACAGCCCUCUGGGUCGUAAACUGCUUUUAUUCGGGAAUAAACCUUAUUACGUGUAAUAAGCUGAAUGUACCGAAGGAAUAAGGAUCGGCUAACUCCGUGCCAGCAGCCGCGGUAAUACGGAGGAUCCAAGCGUUGUCCGGAUUUAUUGGGUUUAAAGGGUGCGUAGGCGGCUUAUUAAGUCAGGGGCGAAAGACGGUGGCUCAACCAUCGCAGUGCCUUUGAUACUGAUGAGCUUGAAUGAACUAGAGGUAGGCGGAAUGUGACAAGUAGCGGUGAAAUGCAUAGAUAUGUCACAGGACACCGAUUGCGAAGGCAGCUUACUAUGGUUUUAUUGACGCUGAGGCACGAAAGCGUGGGGAUCAAACAGGAUUAGAUACCCUGGUAGUCCACGCCCUAAACGAUGAAUACUCGCUGUUAGCGAUAUACAGUUAGCGGCUAAGCGAAAGCGUUAAGUAUUCCACCUGAGGAGUACGCCCGCAAGGGUGAAACUCAAAGGAAUUGACGG
rnacentral:rRNA from 1 species